ACUCUGGUUCCAUGCGUUGGGACUUUGCAUAGCAACCCCGUGGCUUGCAACGACAAAAAAGCUCAAGGCAGGAACAGCAGCCCAGGGACCUGAGACCAGCGUUCUCAAAUGAAGGUGAUCUGCUGUUAGAGGAGAAUUCUUCUGUCCUAGCUGUGUCUCUGUGAUCUGUGGAUGAGGGUGGGAAAGCACCACUCAGUCAAUUGGGGUGUACAAAAUGGAGUUUGAGAAGGUCUCACAUCCAGGUUGUUUUGAAGCAAAGUCCAAGCAUUGUAUCACUUCAUCUGCAAAUAUUUCAAUAAGUACCCAAAAGUGGUUGGACUGAGUCCCAUGAAGCCAGAUCACUUCUGACUGCAAGGAGCUUGGAAAAGCAAGUAUCUGGAUCUUUUACCAGCUAAAUUUGGAGAAUUAUUGAUCAAAUUUGGAUCUCUGUGUGCUGUCCUCCAAUUUAAUACUUUCUGUGUUGCUGUUUUAUUUUCUUUCUUCUGGAACCUGGCAAAGUGCGUCAAGCGAUGAGGCUUCCUCUUUGAAGAUCACAGGUGAGAAGAUUAGGUGCUUUCUCAGAAGCCCAGCAACCUGAUGGGAGUGUGGAGUGAGCAAGACCCAAAUCGGAGCUUCAUCCCUGCAUGGUUCAUUUUGCUUAUUUGGCAAACUUGCCCUGCAGAAUCUACUCAAGCUUCCUCAGUUUCUCAAAUCAUUCUUGGGCAACAAAUGAACAAGAAAGAGGACGUCUUAUUAUCUGGUGUCUGGCUUGCUGAUUUAAUAACCUAGGAGACAGUGUUUGAAGAACACAAACUCUAAAGUCCUUCACUUAAAAAAAAAAAAAAA
rnacentral:lncRNA from 1 species